rnacentral:rRNA from 1 species
UGGGGAAUCUUGGACAAUGGGCGCAAGCCUGAUCCAGCAAUGCCGCGUGCAGGAAGAAGGCCUUCGGGUUGUAAACUGCUUUUGUACGGAACGAAAAGGCUCUUUCUAAUAAAGAGGGCCCAUGACGGUACCGUAAGAAUAAGCACCGGCUAACUACGUGCCAGCAGCCGCGGUAAUACGUAGGGUGCGAGCGUUAAUCGGAAUUACUGGGCGUAAAGCGUGCGCAGGCGGUUCUAUAAGACAGAUGUGAAAUCCCCGGGCUCAACCUGGGAAUGGCAUUUGUGACUGUAUAGCUAGAGUACGGUAGAGGGGGAUGGAAUUCCGCGUGUAGCAGUGAAAUGCGUAGAUAUGCGGAGGAACACCGAUGGCGAAGGCAAUCCCCUGGACCUGUACUGACGCUCAUGCACGAAAGCGUGGGGAGCAAACAGGAUUAGAUACCCCAGUAGUCCCUGAGCGGGCUGGCAAGGCGCAU